CCCAACUCAGCUCUUCCCGUCCCUCUCUGUCGCCACUAUAUACAUUGUACUGUAUGUAUAUACUUGGAUUUCAAAUUAUUUCCCGUUAAUCUAGUUUUGGCUAUUGAAGUGAUUAACAAAGAACUUUGGAUGAAAAUUCUCUAUCCAUUAACCAAUUCUCAGUUUCGAAGGUACAGCUGUAGGUUGAGGGAGGAAGUGUGGGAAGGAUGUGAUGGUGGCACCCACCAGGAGAGUUAUGUUAAAAUGCAAGUUAGGCGAUGACCGAAAAUUGGUGGGUGGGUGUUUCAAGAUGUGGCUAGGCUGAGAUUUUGUAAAGGAGGUCUCAAUGGCGGCCAAUGGAGAUUUUGUGUUGGGAUGGCCGGUGGGAGAAGGAGAAUCCUUUUUCCUUUUGUUUUCUUUAUUAUUAUUUUAAUUUAAUACAAAAGGUUAGGAUCCUCUCCUUCAGCGAGUGACAUUACCUUGCUGAAUAGCCAAGUCGAUUGUAAUAACUAUGAUGUUAACAACACAAUUUCUUCGCUGUCAAUCAA
rnacentral:lncRNA from 1 species